CAGCCGCCGCGGGAAUACGUAGGUGGCAAGCGUUGUCCGGAAUUAUUGGGCGUGAAGGGCUCGCAGGCGGUUUCUUAAGUCUGAUGUGAAAGCCCCCGGCUCAACCGGGGAGGGUCAUUGGAAACUGGGAAACUUGAGUGCAGAAGAGGAGAGUGGAAUUCCACGUGUGGCGGUGAAACGCGUAGAGAUGUGGAGGAACACCAGUGGCGAAGGCGACUCUCUGGUCUGUAACUGACGCUGAGGAGCGAAAGCGUGGGGAGCGAACAGGAUUAGAUACCCGCGUAGUCCCUGUCUCUUAUAC
rnacentral:rRNA from 1 species